AGAGUUUGAUCCUGGCUCAGGAUGAACGCUAGCGGCAGGCCUAACACAUGCAAGUCGAGGGGCAGCGGGAUUGAAGCUUGCUUCAAUUGCCGGCGACCGGCGCACGGGUGCGUAACGCGUAUGCAACCUACCCAUAACAGGGGGAUAACACUGAGAAAUCGGUACUAAUAUCCCAUAACAUCAUGAGGGGCAUCCCUUAUGGUUGAAAACUCCGGUGGUUAUGGAUGGGCAUGCGUUGUAUUAGCUGGUUGGUGAGGGUAACGGCUCACCAAGGCGACGAUACGAUAGGGGGACUGAGAGGUUAACCCCCCANAUUGGUACUGAGACACGGACCAAACUCCUACGGGAGGCA
rnacentral:rRNA from 1 species